GACGAACGCUGGCGGCGUGCUUAACACAUGCAAGUCGAACGCUGAAGCUUGGUGCUUGCUCUGGGUGGGUGAGUGGCGAACGGGUGAGUAAUACGUGAGUAACCUGCCCUUGACUCUGGGAUAAGCCUGGGAAACUGGGUCUAAUACUGGAUACGACAUGCCACUGCAUGGUGGUGUGUGGAAAGGGUUUUACUGGUUUUGGAUGGGCUCACGGCCUAUCAGCUUGUUGGUGGGGUAAUGGCCUACCAAGGCGACGACGGGUAGCCGGCCUGAGAGGGUGACCGGCCACACUGGGACUGAGACACGGCCACGACUCGUAGGGGAGGCAGCAGUGGGGCAUAUUGCAAAAUGGGCGGAAGCCUGAUGCAGCGACGCCGCGUGAGGGAUGACGGCCUUCGGGUUGUAAACCUCUUUCAGCACGGAAGAAGCGAGAGUGACGGUACGUGCAGAAGAAGCGCCGGCUAACUACGUG
rnacentral:rRNA from 1 species